rnacentral:rRNA from 1 species
UACAGAGGUCUCAAGCGUUGUUCGGAUUCAUUGGGCGUAAAGGGUGCGUAGGUGGCGCCGUAAGUCGGGUGUGAAAUUUCGGAGCUUAACUCCGAAACUGCAUUCGAUACUGCGGUGCUUGAGGACUGGAGAGGAGACUGGAAUUCAUGGUGUAGCAGUGAAAUGCGUAGAGAUCAUGAGGAAGACCAGUGGCGAAGGCGGAUCUCUGGACAGUUCCUGACGCUGAGGCACGAAGGCCAGGGGAGCAAACGGG